UACGUAGGGUGCAAGCGUUAAUCGGAAUUACUGGGCGUAAAGCGCACGUAGGCGGUUUUUUAAGUCAGAUGUGAAAGCCCCGGGCUCAACCUGGGAACUGCAUCCAAAACUGGCGAGCUAGAGUACGGUAGAGGGUGGUGGAAUUUCCUGUGUAGCGGUGAAAUGCGUAGAUAUAGGAAGGAACACCAGUGGCGAAGGCGACCACCUGGACUGAUACUGACACUGAGGUGCGAAAGCGUGGGGAGCAAACAGG
rnacentral:rRNA from 1 species